GGAUUGUGGCUCAGUGGUAGAGCUUUUGCCUAGCACAUGUGAUGCACUGGGUUCGAUCCUCAGCACCA
rnacentral:tRNA from 1 species